rnacentral:rRNA from 1 species
GUUGAACGCUGGCGGCAGGCCUAAUACACGCAAGUCGGGCGCGCGGCGGACGGGUGAGUCAUGUAUGGGGACCAGCCUGAUGGCGGGGGUUAACUACGGGAAACGGUAGCUAAAACCGCAUACCCUCAGCUGAAACCAUAUGGGAUUAGCUUGUAGGUAAGGUAACGGCUUACCUAGGCGACGAUCCCUAGCUGGUCUGAGAGGAUGAUCAGCCACACUGGGACUGAGACACGGCCCAGACUCCUACGGGAGGCAGCAGUGGGGAAUAUUGCACAAUGGGCGCAAGCCUGAUGCAGCCAUGCCGCGUGUAUGAAGAAGGCCUUCGGGUUGUAAAGUACUUUCAGUCGGGAGGCGUUACCGACAGAAGAAGCACCGGCUAACUCCGUGCCAGCAGCCGCGGUAAUUC